AUUGAACGCUGGCGGCAGGCCUAACACAUGCAAGUCGGACGAGCGGCGGACGGGUGAGUAAUGUAUGGGAAUCUGCCUGAUGGAGGGGGAUAACUACUGGAAACGGUAGCUAAUACCGCAUACCAUCAGAUGAACCCAUAGGGGAUUAGCUUGUAGGUGAGGUAACGGCUCACCUAGGCGACGAUCCCUAGCUGGUCUGCGAGGAUGAUCAGGCACACCGGGACUGAGACACGGCCCAGACUGCUACGGGAGGCAGCAGUGGGGAAUAUGGCACAAUGGGCGCAAGCCUGAUGCAGCCAUGCCGCGGGUAUGAAGAAGGCCUUCGGGUUGUAAAGUAUUUUCAGCCGGUAGGCGUUACCGACAGAAGAAGCACCGGCUAACUCCGUGCCAGCAGCCGCGGUAAUUC
rnacentral:rRNA from 1 species